GUCGAGGGGUAUUGUUCUUCGGAAUGAGAGACCGGCGCACGGGUGCGUAACGCGUAUGCAAUCUACCUUUCACAGAGGGAUAGCCCAGAGAAAUUUGGAUUAAUACCUCAUAGUAUAACACAGCCGCAUGGUUGAGUUAUUAAAGUCACAACGGUGAAAGAUGAGCAUGCGUCCCAUUAGCUUGUUGGUAAGGUAACGGCUUACCAAGGCAACGAUGGGUAGGGGUCCUGAGAGGGAGAUCCCCCACACUGGUACUGAGACACGGACCAGACUCCUACGGGAGGCAGCAGUGAGGAAUAUUGGACAAUGGGCGCAAGCCUGAUCCAGCCAUGCCGCGUGCAGGAUGACGGUCCUAUGGAUUGUAAACUGCUUUUGCACAGGAAGAAACACUCGGACGUGUCCGAGCUUGACGGUACUGUGAGAAUAAAGAUCGGCUAACUCCGUGCCAGCAGCCGCGGUAAUACGGAGGAUCCA
rnacentral:rRNA from 1 species